AAAACGGAGAGUUUGAUCCUGGCUCAGGAUGAACGCUGGCGGUAUGCUUAACACAUGCAAGUCGAACGGUCUCUUCGGAGAUAGUGGCGGACGGG
rfam:Tolypothrix bouteillei VB521301 scaffold_3, whole genome shotgun sequence.